rnacentral:rRNA from 1 species
AGUGAACGCUGGCGGCAGGCCUAACACAUGCAAGUCGAACGAGUGGCGGGAGUGUGAGGAAUACAUCUGAAUCUACUCUGUCGUGGGGGAUCACGUAGGGAAACUUACGCUAAUACCGCAUACGCUUGACUGGGCCGAUGUCGGAUUAGCUAGUGGGCGGGGUAAAGGCCCACCAAGGCGACGAUCCGUAGCUGGUCUGAGAGGAUGAUCAGCCACACUGGAACUGAGACACGGUCCAGACUCCUACGGGAGGCAGCAGUGGGGAAUAUUGGACAAUGGGCGCAAGCCUGAUCCAGCCAUACCGCGUGGGUGAAGAAGGCCUUCGGGUUGUAAAGCACUUUUGUUGGGAAAGCGGUACCCAAAGAAUAAGCACCGGCUAACUUCGUGCCAGCAGCCGCGGUAAUAC